AGCAAAAUGAGGAGUUCAUACAAUCUGAAGUCUGAUGUUGAUACUAUCAUUAAUGGUCUUCAAAGUUCUCUGAUUGUU
rnacentral:snoRNA from 1 species